rnacentral:lncRNA from 1 species
AUCUUCUAAAGCAUCCUCAUGAGCAGAAACCUCAGAUCUGGCCUGGGCCAGCGUCCUGCUCACACUAAAGAGGGGAUCAGCAAGGGUUCUGAAGUAUCCUAAAAAGGGGCUUGAACUCCACUUCGUGUGGGUCAGUGGAGAGCUGCUCUAAGCUGCCAGUGUCCCUCAGAGAAUGAAGAUUUCAUUGGCAAACCCAAGACAAGGAAGAGGAGACUGACAACCGGGUGAAGGGAAAGUAACCACCAAGAAAAAAAUGCCUGGAAGAGGGUGACGAUCCCCUAGUGGGAGGUGGGCAGGGAAGUGGAGGCAGGUGGAAGGCUGGUCUAAGAGUGGAGGUAGCCCAAGAGUGAUACUGGCUGGGUCCGAGAAGUCGGUGGGCCCGAUCCGACGGAUACACAUACACG